rnacentral:rRNA from 1 species
UACGAAGGGGGCUAGCGUUGUUCGGAAUUACUGGGCGUAAAGCGCACGUAGGCGGACUAUUAAGUCAGGGGUGAAAUCCCGGGGCUCAACCCCGGAACUGCCUUUGAUACUGGUAGUCUCGAGUCCGGAAGAGGUGAGUGGAAUUCCGAGUGUAGAGGUGAAAUUCGUAGAUAUCGGGAAGAACACCCGUGGCGAAGGCGGUUCUCUGGGACGGUACUGACGCUGAGACGCGAAAGCGUGGGGAGCGAACAGG